rnacentral:rRNA from 1 species
UACGGAGGAUGCGAGCGUUAUCCGGAUUUAUUGGGUGUAAAGGGCGUGUAGGCGGGAGCGCAAGUCAGAUGUGAAAACUCAGGGCUCAACCCUGAGCCUGCAUUUGAAACUGCUUCCCUUGAGUAUCGGAGAGGUAACCGGAAUUCCUAGUGUAGCGGUGAAAUGCGUAGAUAUCGCGCAGAACUCCGAUCGCGAAGGCGGCCUGCUGGACUGUAACUGACGUUGAGGCUCGAAAGCGUGGGGAGCAA